rnacentral:rRNA from 1 species
UACGUAGGGGGCUAGCGUUGUCCGGAAUCAUUGGGCGUAAAGAGCGUGUAGGCGGCUCGGUAAGUCCGCUGUGAAAGUCCAGGGCUCAACCCUGGAAUGCCAGUGGAAACUGUCGAGCUAGAGUCCGGAAGAGGCGAGUGGAAUUCCUGGUGUAGCGGUGAAAUGCGUAGAUAUCGGAAGGAACACCUGUGGCGAAAGCGGCUCACUGGACCAUUACUGACGCUGAUGCACGAAAAGCUAGGGGGAGCAAACAGG